AAUGCCCUAUCCUGAGCGUGAAGCCAGCUCUUGGUGUUGCUUUAGUGCAAUUGCUAUUUGCCAUUGAUGAUCGUUCUUCUCUCCCUUUGGGGGAGUAAGAGGGAGAGAACGCAGUCUGA
rnacentral:snoRNA from 1 species